rnacentral:lncRNA from 1 species
CUCAACCACUCUUGCUUUGCAUUUGAGAAUUUAAGUCACUUGACCAAAGUCAGACAACAGUGAUUAUAUUACUACAGUGAUUCUGGAGUGUUCUCAACAAAUAAUAACCUCAGAAACAAGUAGGCACUUGGAGACAUUGGGCUGUGGAUUCAGGUUGCCUAGGUUUGAAUCCUAGUCCCAACAUUUACUAAGGCUCUCUGAUAGUGGGCACAUUAUUUAACUUCCUCAGACCUGUUUCCCCAUCUACAAAAUUGGAUUACCUAUGCUCCAAGGUUUGUGAUCUAGAAUUCAACUAAUAAAUUCAGGCAAAUUAUUCCAAUUAUAUUAAGCACUAGUACUCAAAGCUGACAUUUGAGGCUCAAAUGGAGUGUCUUCUUAGCUUUUGUCUCCUGUCAUUUCAGCCCUAAGCCGAAAUCCAAAAAUAAUGGGAAAAUUCUAUGCCCUGAUAUAACACAGAAUUAUAAAGGAAGCUACAAUAUCCCAUACUCCUUGCUUCAUACUCUAGAAUCCAUUUAAAUGAGGUUUAAAAUUGUUCCGGUUGAGUCAUUCCUUCCAGUCAAGGCAUAUUCUAUCUGAAGGACUCAAAUUAAUUAGCUACAGUUAACAGAUUAUUAAGUCAACUGGCUUCUACGGAGAUGGUGAGAGAGGCCAUGUGGGUACACCAUGAGAAGUCUGUCAUCUACAGGAAAGGAAGAGAGCCCUCCCAGGAAACUGACUUUGCCAGACUUUGACCUGGAACGUCUAUUCUCCAGAACUGGCUCCUUCUUCAUAGGCUGGGGGUGUAUACAAAGAGGAUAAUGGCAUUAAACCAGCAAGGAAGUGUUGCUCUCCAGGAUAGAAUGUACGAUUAGUAGAUGAGAAACUGAGACUCAUGGAGCCUCAACAUGAAGAUGAUGAAAAUGGAGACCUUCAUCGUGAUCCACUUCUAAUUAAUGAAUAGGAGGCUUGGGCCGAACUGGGUGAUCAGACAUCAUACACAGAGAAGGAGCAAGAGAGAGAUUACACAGAGGAGGAACAAGGUGUGCAGCGGACAGCCAGUGCCAAGACCUCAGACACGUGAGUUGUGGAGUCAUGUUGCAUUUUCUGGCCUUGGUCAAACUGUCCCAGCUGACACCAGGGAAGCAAAAAUGGGAGGAUUCCUUUCAACCAUGGAUGAAUUCUUGAUCCACAAACUUGUGAGUGAUAAAAAUAAAUUUUAUUGUGGGAUUAAACCGCUAAGUUUUUGAUAGUGUUUAUAGGUAACUAAAACAAUCACAAAGUGCUCUCUAUUAUAACCUUUGAGUAUCUCUUAAAAUUAUCUACCUGUUUUCAUCUCUGCCAUCCCCAAGAUUAUAACUUCUCUCUCUCAUAGGUUAUUGCAAUGUAUCUCAACUAGUAUUCUGAUUUCUUGUUUUGUUCUUCAUUAAUCUAUUCCUAUUACACAAUGAGGUGAUUUUAA